rnacentral:rRNA from 1 species
GACGAACGCUGGCGGCGUGCCUAACACAUGCAAGUCGUGCGAGAAAGUUCCUUCGGGAGCGAGUAAAGCGGCGCACGGGUGAGUAACACGUAGGUAACCUGCCCCCCAGUCUGGAACAACUAGAGGAAACUCUAGCUAAUGCCGGAUGAGACCACGAUCCCUUCGGGGGUUGCGGCCAAAGAUGGCCUCUACUUGUAAGCUAUCGCUGAGGGAUGGGCCUGCGGGCCAUUAGCUUGUUGGUGAGGUAACGGCUCACCAAGGCUGUGAUGGCUAGCUGGUCUGAGAGGAUGACCAGCCACACUGGGACUGAGACACGGCCCAGACUCCUACGGGAGGCAGCAGUGGGAAUAUUGCGCAAUGGGCGAAAGCCUGACGCAGCGACGCCGCGUGGGUGAUGAAGGCCUU